rnacentral:rRNA from 4 species
GGGCCGGAAAGUUGGUCAAACCCGGUCAUUUAGAGGAAGUAAAAGUCGUAACAAGGUCUCCGUAGGUGAACCUGCGGAGGGAUCAUU